CUCACAGAUAAGACAGCUGAAUGAUAGUCGGGCUGAAGACUCUACUUGACUAGCUGAGAGGAGGUGCAUGGCCGUCGUCAGUUCGUACUGUGAAGCAUCCUGUUAAGUCAGGCAACGAGCGAGACCCACGCCAACAGUUGCCAGCUCGUCCUCCGGGAUGGUGGGGACACUGUUGGGACCGCCUCUGCUAAAGAGGAGGAAGGAAUGGGCAACGGUAGGUCAGCAUGCCCCGAAUUAUCUGGGCUACACGCGGGCUACAAUGGGUGGGACAAUGGGUAUCGACACCGAAAGGUGAAGGCAAUCUCCUAAACCCAUCCGUAGUUCGGAUUGUGGGCUGCAACUCGCCCACAUGAAGCUGGAAUCUGUAGUAAUCGUGUCUCAAAAUGGCACGGUGAAUAUGUCCCUGCUCCUU
rnacentral:rRNA from 1 species